rnacentral:misc_RNA from 1 species
UUUCCGUAGGUGAACCUGCGGAAGGAUCAUUACCGAAUUGUCAAACGGGUUGUUGCUGGUCUUCAAACGGGGACAUGUGCACGCUCUGUUUACACAUCCACUCACACCUGUGCACCCUCCGUAGUUCUAUGGUCUGGGGGACCCUGUCUUCCUGGCGUGGUUCUACGUCUUUACACACACUCCGUAAUAAAGUCUUAUGGAAUGUAUGCCGCGUCUAACGCAAUACAAUACAACUUUCAGCAACGGAUCUCUUGGCUCUC